GUGCAGAUGAAGAGUCCCAAAUUAGGACGAAACAGCUGUCCAGUAC
rnacentral:hammerhead_ribozyme from 1 species